rnacentral:rRNA from 1 species
GUGGUAGGAGAGCGUCGUCUAUGCGCUGAAGCUGAACUGUAAGGGACAGUGGAGCGUAGACGAGUGAGGAUGCAGACAUGAGUAGCGAUAAAACAGGUGAGAAUCCUGUUCGCCGUAAACCCAAGGUUUCCCAUAGCCACGCUCGUCGGCUUGGGGUUAGUCGGGUCCUAAGGUGAGGCCGUAAGGCGUAAUCGAUGGACAGCAGGUUAAUAUUCCUGCACCGGCGGGUAUUUAGUGUGUGAGUGCGCGGAGAAGGAAGAUGCAUACAUAACGUUAUGGAAGAGGCUUAGUCCACGAGGCGAAGCCCGCAUUGGAAAUCUCUGCCUAGAAAAGCUCAUACACAUUCUAUGCCUGUCGCCCGUACCGUAAACCGCCACAGGUAGGAGGGUGUAAAUGUACCAAGGCGCGCGAGAGAAACCUCUUUAAGGAACUCUGCAAAUUAGCCCCGUAACUUCGGAAGAAGGGGUGCCUCCCCUAGCUUGCUAGGAAGGCCACAGUAAAGGGUGACUGGCGACUGUUUACCAAAAACACAGCUCUCUGCUAAGAUGUUAAGUCUACGUAUAGGGAGUGACACGUGACCAAUGCCGAAAGAUCAAGGCUGUUCUGUUAACGCAGGGCACCCAAGUCCCGGUGAAUGUCGGCCGUAACUAUAACGGUCCUAAGGUAGCGAAAUUCCUUGUCGGGUAAGUUCCGACCUGCACGAAUCGUGUAACGACCGGUCAACUGUCUCAAAGAGGAUCUCGGCGAAGUUGUAAUGGCGGUGAAGAUGCCGCCUACCCGCGGUAGGACGGAAAGACCCUAUGCACCUUUACUGUAAGCUGGUAUUGGGUUCUGGACUGUGAUGUGUAGUAAUAGGUGGGAGACUGUGAGACGAGUUCGUCAGGAUUCGUGGAGUCGCCAAGUGAAAAACCACCCUUUAUUUUCUAGGAUUCUAACCUCGAUUCCUGUUAGCCAGGCGAGGGACAGUGCUUGCGGGUCAGUUUGACUGGGGCGGUUUCCUCCCAAAAAGUAACGGAGGAGCGCGAAGGUACUCUCAGCAUGGUUAGAAACCAUGCGUCGAGCGUAUAGGUAGAAGAGUGCUUAACUGUAAGACCGACAGGUCGAGCAGGUACGAAAGUAGGCCUAAGUGAUCCGGCAGUAGAAAAUGGAAUUGCUGUCGCUCAUCGGACAAAAGGUACGCUAGGGAUAACAGGCUUAUCGCGCCCAAGAGUUCAUAUCGACGGCGCGGUUUGGCACCUCGAUG